rnacentral:rRNA from 1 species
AUUAAACGCUGGCGGCAUGCCUUACACAUGCAAGUCGAACGGCAGCACGGGGGCAACCCUGGUGGCGAGUGGCGAACGGGUGAGUAAAGCAUCGGAACGUGCCCUGGAGUGGGGGAUAACGUAGCGAAAGUUACGCUAAUACCGCAUAUUCUGUGAGCAGGAAAGCAGGGGAUCGCAAGACCUUGCGCUCUGGGAGCGGCCGAUGUCGGAUUAGCUAGUUGGUGGGGUAAAGGCCUACCAAGGCGACGAUCCGUAGCGGGUCUGAGAGGAUGAUCCGCCACACUGGGACUGAGACACGGCCCAGACUCCUACGGGAGGCAGCAGUGGGGAAUUUUGGACAAUGGGCGAAAGCCUGAUCCAGCCAUGCCGCGUGAGAGAAGAAGGCCU